rnacentral:lncRNA from 1 species
ACCUCACGCCGAUCAGGUUGGUACGAACUGGCGCUCGACUGUUUGUCUGUUCGACGGGCAAAACCGAUCUGUUGUAGUUUGACAGAAGUACUCAAUCUUCAGUUUCUGGUUGACUCAUGGUGGAUGAUGUGUGCCACUUGCCUGUGACGCAUAAUACAGUAGGUGUGACUUUCUGUUUUCUUUAGUACAAGCAUCUGUGCAUAUAAGCUUACCUCACCUGGCACUCUCCGAUCACCUUUACUACUCCAGCAACAGAACCUCUAGCAGCAUGGUUCUUGGCUUGGUUACUCUCUAUCUACAUUUGUUUCUUUCCUGUACAAACCCUCUUCCAUGCAAUGAUUACAAUGUUCUAAUAUCUUACCAAUCCUUAUUUUAUGCAGGUGGUGUCCAUACUGGUUGGAUUCAAUUGUUUCGGGUAAAUCUUGGAGACUGGUUCUAGCAUUUUGAUUUGGGGAAUCUUUUAGUCUUCAAUCUCAAAUGGCCAUUGGACAGGUUAUUACUAGCGCAUUUUGGAAACUCUUAAGUUUCCACCUCCGGUGGAUAGCGGCACUUAAUUUUGUUUUAAAGUUCUCUAUUUGUUGAUUUGGUUUUCCAUCAUGCUCCAAGUUAAAUGGAUUUGUGCAGAUUUUCUCUAAAGUAAAUGAUUGGUCAAGGCAAAUGAUUACCGACGCUAGAGUAGCAAUUAUGCAGAUUUUCUCUAAGAAUUACUUCAUGUUCUGGUUCCUUUUUCUGUUAUGUCUUGUGAGCAUACACAAAGAUGUCCAGGGAAUAUAUAUCUUCUCCAAGAAGCAAAGGUAAAAUCUAAUUAGAAGAACACAUGUUUUUAGCAGUAACACCUAACCUCCUUAUUGGAAAUGGGUUCCUGUGGUAUCCACCAGACGUGUGUAUGGAUGCUAGGUCAAUUUUUUUGUAGUUAUCCACUAACCUGGAAAACACCACGGAACCUGUUCGGCUCUUAGAAUCAGACAUCACAGAGCAGCCAUUCCGACAAUUCUCAAAUGUUGAUGUCCAUUCCAAGCUUUACAUAGAUAUCUUUCCUUAAAAUAAAUAAAUUAUAGUUAGAAACAAGCCCGUCAUAAAGGAGGAUCUACAAUUAGCAAUUUUAUUUCAAUAGAUUGAAGAAAUGAAUGAAAAACAUGGUUUUUGUUAUAUAUGUGAGUAUACUAUUUGAAUCCUUCUUGCUAUUUUUAUGAGGCAUCACUUCACAAUUUUUAUUUAUGGAGCUUCCUUCAGUAUGUAGUCUAUAGAUGCAACUUUAUUUAUUGGUCCAUACAUUUUCUGUAGAUGACAUCUCAAGCACUUGCUCUAAUAAAUUAUAAUUUAUUUAUACAGGCUGGUGCUGAUGUGAAUAAAAUUGACUAUAUGGGCAUUACUUGAUGGCAGCAAUGAACAGUGUCCUACCUGGUAUGAUGAACUGCUUACUAGAUGCUGGUGUUAACCCAAAUGUUCCUGCCAGACCGAGUUAAUGAGUCUUAUAUUAUUUCCUCCUCCGCCUUUGUGAUCCCAUUUUCAUGCAGUACAAAGUUAAAAGUAGUUUUAUGUUUUUGUUUCAAGGAUAUUGGAAGAGGGGAUCUUGACUGUUGAGGUCACUAAAGUAAACUUCACUAUUUAGAUUGAUAAAGUUGAAAUCUGAUCUUACUUCCUGUGUUAUAGUUUUCAUUUCCACUAGAGGAUUUCACUUUCAUAACCAGUGCUGAUGUUUUGUUUAGCAUGGCUUGGGAUAUUUCAUGUUCAUGUAUCAAAGACUCAUUGCUAGCAUUGAUGUUUUAUUUAGCAUUGUUGCUAAUUCAUAUAUUUCCUUAAAAUUUAAAAGGAAAUAGUAUUAUCAUCUAACAUCUCACACCCAUAAUCUGAAUGUUGUGAUUAUUAAAGAAAUAAGACUUGCUAUUUUAUAACUUAAUAGGUGCCAACUUGUCUGCAAGCUACCAAUUGAGCAUCGAACGGAGAUGGAAGUAUUGUGCUCUUGUUUCUGACUGGAUUAGCGCUAAUGCACGAUUGAUGUGCUGAUGGUGCAUGUAUGUACAUGUAGCUGACUGAGGAUGA